rnacentral:rRNA from 1 species
AUGGCACGUCCAAUAACAUUUGUAUUCCGGAAACUGAAGCAUUUGUUACUAAUAACAUAUGUCGUUGCGCUGGUUGGCCUCGUCGGCGCUUCCACCACAGGCAGCUGCAGGGAGACCGACACCACCGUCUACGUGGUCUCCCUCAUUGGCGCCGUUCUAGCAUACAUCCUGCUCCAUGGCUUCUGCAGUUCAGCAACCAAAUUCUUUUCAUGUUGUUCCAGUCCAGCCGAACAACCUGAUCAAAAUAAGCACACUGAUGAGAAUAAUGUCAGUGCUAAGGAGGCUCUGGACAAGGCUCGCUCUCUUCUUCUACUGCUCGGCGCUCUUGCCGCCACCAUCACCUAUACAACGGGGUUGAACCCGCCAGGUGGCCUUUGGCAGGAUAACAACGACGGGCACACGGCUGGCGACCCGAUUCUCCUCACAACGAACAUUGCAAUGUACAGGGCCUUCUACUACUGCAACUCGGUUGCGUUUGUGGCGUCCUUGGUGGCCAUCGUCCUUGUCCAGAAGGAGAAGCUGGUCAAGCACCACGCUCUGGAGGCAGCCUGA